rnacentral:rRNA from 1 species
GUCGAGCGAAGCUUUUCAGUAGUUUACUACAGAAAAUGACUGAGCGGCGAACGGGUGAGUAACGCGUGAGCAAUCUACCUUAGUUACAGGGAUAGCCCGAGGAAACUCGGAUUAAUACCUGAUAUUCUUUAUUUCUCGCAUGAGAAUAAAAGGAAAGGUCAGCCGAACUAAGAUGAGCUCGCGUUCUAUCAGCUAGUUGGUGAGGUAAAAGCUCACCAAGGCUACGACGGAUAGCUGGUCUGAGAGGACGAUCAGCCACACUGGGACUGAGACACGGCCCAGACUCCUACGGGAGGCUGCAGCAGGGAAUAUUGCGCAAUGAGCGAAAGCUUGACGCAGCGACACCGCGUGUGGGAUGACGGAUCUAGGUUUGUAAACCACUUUCAGGAGGGAAGAAAAUGACGGUACCUCCACAAGAAGCCCCGGCCAACUACGUGCCAGCAGCCGCGGUAAUACGUAGGGGGCGAGCGUUGUCCGGAUUUAUUGGGCGUAAAGAGCUCGUAGGCGGUUCAACAAGUCGGUCGUGAAAGUUCAGGGCUCAACCCUGAAAUGUCGAUCGAUACUGUUGUGACUAGGAUACGGUAGAGG